UUGGGCUUUGGGCUUAUUGAUUUUCUGUUUAUUAGGCUUUGUAUCUGCCCAAAGUGGUGAUACGGACAAAGCUAAGAAGAUUAGGGAAGCCGCCAUCUUCACCAUCUCCUUCGUCGCUUGCGAUUCCCCUUCCGGCAAUCAGCUAUUAUGGUCGAUCUUUAAGGUUCUACGCACGUUUUGCGCCUACCAAACGCUUAGCUUCUCCUCUAACGCCUUCAGAGCUCUCAUAUAUAUAGAAUCCGUCGAGCUGCUCCAGCCGCUUCAGCCGCCAUUGCCACCGUUCCCUACUCCACCUUCAACUCUCUCCGCCUUGGAAGGUCCACUCAGUCCAUUGUUGGUCGGCUCAUCCGAUUCUAGGAUUCCAGGACCAUUAACAAGAAUGGAGAGUUUAUGGGCAUCACCAUUCUCCUCCUUGAUGAACUGGAUUCUGUGAUCCACGGUUUCUUCCCUGCAAUCUCCAAACAAAACAUGAAAACUGAAUGAAUUAUGUUUUUAGCAACCGUAUCUAAAAGAAAUAAAAGACAUCUUACUUAACAAAUUAAAACCUUUUCUUUUGCAGAUUCCGACGACGACGAAGCACCCGAGGACCAACGGCAACGGAAUGAUGCGGACGAAGCCUAACUGAUGGGGAAGAUCUCCUUAGAAGGGGAGCCACACGCCACGAUGCUUCCAGUUUCACUAUUCUUGAAACUCUUAUGAACCACAAAGCCAAUAUAAGAGCUCUGUUUCAAUCCAACGGCUGGAUUUUGUCACAGACCACCGCUAAGCCUGAAGAGGGAAGAGAAGUGGAGUGCUGCGUUUUGGAAGAUGGUUACUUGGA